rnacentral:rRNA from 1 species
AUUCAGGAAAGAUUUUGGUGGCACGGUAUGAAGAGGGACAUAGCCGCUUUCAUUGCAUGUUGCGACUCAUGUCAACGCAUAAAAGCUGAACAUCAGAGACCAGCCGGACUACUGCAACCUAACAAAAUACCUGAGUGGAAAUGGGAUGAAAUAGGGAUGGAUUUUAUUGUCGGAUUACCUCGGUCACGACACAGAAAUGAUGCCAUAUGGGUCAUCACUGACAUGUUGACCAAAGUAGCACAUUUUAUUCCAGUAAAGACAACCUACACCAAUCAGAGGCUUGCCAGGAUUUAUCUUUCCCGCAUAGUCUGUCUGCACGGUGUCCCGAAGAUUAUAAUUUCCGACAGAGGCACUCAGUUCGUCUCAAGAUUUUGGGAGCAAUUACAACAGGCUCUGGGAACCCAACUAGCCUUCAGUACCGCAUACCAUCCACAGACUGAUGGACAA